AACGAACGCUGGCGGCAUGCCUAACACAUGCAAGUCGAACGAGACCUCCGGGUCUAGUGGCGCACGGGUGCGUAACGCGUGGGAACCUGCCCUUAGGUUCGGAAUAACUCUCCGAAAGGGGUGCUAAUACCGGAUAAUGUCUUCGGACCAAAGAUUUAUCGCCUUUGGAUGUGCCCGCGUUGGAUUAGCUAGUUGGUAGGGUAAAAGCCUACCAAGGCGACGAUCCAUAGCUGGUCUGAGAGGCUGAUCAGCCACACUGGGACUGAGACACGGCCCAGACUCCUACGGGAGGCAGCAGUGGGGAAUAUUGGAAAAUGGGCGAAAGCCUGAUCCAGCAAUGCCGCGUGAGUGAUGAAGGCCUUAGGGUUGUAAAGCUCUUUUACCCGGGAUGAUAAUGACAGUACCGGGAGAAUAAGCUCCGGCUAACUACGUG
rnacentral:rRNA from 1 species